rnacentral:tRNA from 1 species
AGCUUGUUAGCUCAGGUGGUUGGAGCGUCGUGUAGGUAACACGAAGGUCGUGAGUUCGAACCUCAUGUAAGAAG